AGCCGAGACCAUCGGGACCAGGUGUUCCCGGGCGCGCCAAGAUGCAGCCGAGGCUCUGGCUCCUCAUUGCCGCGCAGCUGUCAACUCUCCACGGUGGCUCAGCACUCCUGCAGACUCCUUCGUCUGUGAUGGCUCAAACCAACCAGACGGUGAAGCUGUCCUGUGAAGCCAGAACUUUCCCCACCAACACUCGCAUCUACUGGCUGAGGCUGCGUCAGGCCCCGAGUGCCAACAGCCACUACGAAUUCCUGGCCCUCUGGAUUCCUAACGGAAACCCUGUGUAUGGCAAGGAGACGGAGAAGCAGCUAACUGUGCUUCAAGAUUCUUCCCGCUACCUUCUCCAACUCCGACACGUGAAGCCUGCGGACAGUGGCAACUACUUCUGCAUGGCUGUUGGCAACCCCGAGCUGACCUUUGGGAAGGGAACUCGGCUGAGUGUGGUUGAUGUCUUUCCCACCACUGCCCAGCCCACCAAGAAGACCAGACCCAAGAAGAAAAUAUGCCGAUUACCAAACCUGGUGCCCCCAAAGGGCCCUGCCUGUGCCCCCCUCAUCAUUGGCCUGCUGGUGGCCGGCCUUCUGGUUCUGCUGGUGUCCUUGGGUGCUGCUGUCCAUGUAUACUGCCUGCAGAGGAGAGCCUGGCAUCGCCUCAUGAAACAGUAAGUAGCUGGGACCUGGGAAAAGUGUUCAGGCCUGGGUGUGGCCCUGGCUUUCUCAGCCCCUGCGGCUGCUCACAGCCUCCAGCUGCAAGGAGCCCCAGCCAGACACUACCUUCAAAAAUCAUACACUGUGCAAACAGAUGGGGAGAUGGAGUUCAGGCAAAGACAAAACCUAAGUAGAGAUGCCGGUUUUGUAAGUGAGCAGAGAAUAUGCUUUUGGUGUCCUGCUACAAAAAUACAUCGGUCACUGAUGGACAAGGUCUGGAAAAAUGAGAGCGAAAGGACACACUCAACCAUGGACAUGUCACCAACCUGCCAAAGCUGCCUGCUUUUAACUACUGCAAGUUCUUUCUGUGGACCUCAUGCCUGAGAGCAACUUGUUACAUAGUCAUCAGGAAUCUGAGAGAGAAGCCUUCAGAGCCCCAGGGCCCUCUCUGCAACUCGAAAGGCAUAUGCAGGAUUGAGUACAAAAUGGCUCCAGUGCAGCACUUCCAGCUCCUGUUUGGGCUGGGAAUUUCAGUCUUACGGUCCAGCCACCGCCUUGCUUUGUCCUGGUAGGGCGGUGACAUUGAGACCUGAGUCUCUCAUGGGAUGGUGCUGGGAUGGGUCCCCUUGGUCUUCCCUGGCUGGAGUUGUCCUUCCCCACAGAGAGCCCCAGGCAGCAGACCCAGGUUGGAAAGGAGGCUUCCAAGAGGGCCUGAGCUGGCUCCCCCUUUCACCUCUGUUUCUGAGGACCUCCCUUGGGGCUGGAAACUUGGGGUUUGGGGCCAGGAGGCCACUUGAUUUCCCACUAGGAAGUUCCUCAGCUUUCACUUUCUGCCCUCCCAUGGCUUGUACAUUUCUUCUUUCACUCUCUGUUUCUUUUAUGAAAAUAACUUGGUUGUAAAAAAUAAAGUAUUUUUUUAUUUUUAUUGAAGUAUAGUUGA